ACSGAGCAACGCCGCGUGAGUGAAGAAGGUYUUCGGAUCGUAAAACUCUGUUGUGAGAGAAGAACGRRUAUGAGAGUGGAAAGYYCAUAUCGUGACGGUAUCUCACCAGUAAGGGACGGCUAACUACGUGCCAGCAGCCGCGGUAACUACGUAGGUCCCGAGCGUUGUCCGGAUUUAUUGGGCGUAAAGCGAGUCGCAGGUGGUUAUCUUAAGUGGGGUGUAAAAKGCAUGUGGCUCAACCAUUGUGCUGCAUUCCAAACUGUGAGACUUGAGUGCAGCAGAGGAGAGUSGAAUUCCAUGUGUAGCGGUGAAAUUCGUAGAUAUAUGGAGGAACACCGAUGCGAAAGCGGCUCUCUUGUCUGUAACUUACACU
rnacentral:rRNA from 1 species